UACGUAGGCAGCGAGCGUUGUUCGGAGUUACUGGGCGUAAAGCGUGCGUAGGCGGUGUCUUAAGUUUGUUGUGAAAUCUCCCGGCUUAACCGGGAGGGUGCGGCGAAUACUGAGAUGCUGGAGUGCCGGAGAGGUAAGCGGAAUUCCUGGUGUAGCGGUGAAAUGCGUAGAUAUCAGGAAGAACACCGGUGGCGAAGGCGCUCUGCUAGGCCGCAACUGACACUGAGGGACGAAAGCUAGGGGAGCGAAUGGG
rnacentral:rRNA from 1 species